GGAUCUAUCCGUCGGUCGGGCCUCACGGUCCGCACUGGUGUGAUGGAUUCCUACCUUCUGAAUAACCGGUAUGCCAUUAAUUUGAUGUGCCGGGAGCAGAACCAUUACCUUGAAAAAUUAGAGUGCUCAAAGCAGGCCUAUGCCUGAAUACAUUAGCAUGGAAUAAUAAAAUAGGACGGCAUGGUUCUAUUUUGUUGGUUUCUAGGAUCACCGUAAUGAUUAAUAGGGAUAGU
rnacentral:rRNA from 1 species